UGUCAUUCCUGCAGUCGAGAUUCCUACGGGAGGCAGCAGUGGGGAAUCUUAGACAAUGGGCGCAAGCCUGAUCUAGCCAUGCCGCGUGAGUGAUGAAGGCCCUAGGGUCGUAAAGCUCUUUCGCCAGAGAUGAUAAUGACAGUAUCUGGUAAAGAAACCCCGGCUAACUCCGUGCCAGCAGCCGCGGUAAUACGGAGGGGGUUAGCGUUGUUCGGAAUUACUGGGCGUAAAGCGCGCGUAGGCGGACUAUUAAGUUAGAGGUGAAAUCCCAGGGCUCAACCCUGGAACUGCCUUUAAUACUGGUAGUCUUGAGUUCGAGAGAGGUGAGUGGAAUUCCAAGUGUAGAGGUGAAAUUCGUAGAUAUUUGGAGGAACACCAGUGGCGAAGGCGGCUCACUGGCUCGAUACUGACGCUGAGGUGCGAAAGUGUGGGGAGCAAACAGGAUUAGAUACCCUGGUAGUCCACACCGUAAACGAUGAAUGCCAGUCGUCGGGUAGCAUGCUGCUCGGUGACACACCUAACGGAUUAAGCAUUCCGCCUGGGGAGUACGGUCGCAAGAUUAAAACUCAAAGGAAUUGACGG
rnacentral:rRNA from 1 species